CGAGGUGUGGCUCAACCUGGUUAGAGCACCGCGUUCGGGACGCGGGGAUUGCCGGUUCGAAUCCGGCCACCUCGACCA
rnacentral:tRNA from 1 species